AUUUAAACGUUUGGGAUUUGUUUUGUGGUACUUAACAAGUGAUAUGCUGAUACAGGUAUGUAAUAGUAUCUUACAUAAGAUUGGUGUUAUGGCAAGGUGUAUCUGUCUCCUUUUCGAGCUGACCAGUAAACUGAGUAAGUCACUGCUUUACGAAUUUUACAUUUAUUUAGCUCUUUUCGAAUGAGCACCUCUUAAAUUGUUUUUGUCGCUUAUACAUUUAGUAUAUCGAAAUAAGUUUACAUAUUUAUAUCUAUUUAUUAGUUCUUAGAUUCAAGAUAGGCCGACCACGCGUUUGUCUUAAACAAUUUGUCUGAAGUAUUAUUUUAAAUGCAUUUCGAUGUUUCUGUAAAAUUUCAAAAUGUUUUCGUCCUGUUAUUUAUUAUCUAAACAUUUAGUACAUAUAUUUUUCAGGGAAAUAUAAUUAUAUUUUGGAUUUUAGAUAUAAGAUUACAUAUAAGAUAAGAUAUAACAUAGACCGAUCACGUGUCUGUAUGAUUAUCGAUAUUUGAAUCUAUAAAUAAACAGCUAAAGUCUACUUCAACCAUUUGUUUGUGGUGCAGUUUUUGACAUUUUGAAAGCGGCUUACAUUUUGAAAGCUGUUCGUGUUUCACUGGGGAUCUGUUUAUCUUAAUCGGGAUCUGUUUAUCUUAAUCGGGAUCUGUUUAUCUUGUUCGUGGUUUGUUUAGUUAACUUUUGUAUUAUUAAGCAAAGCUUAAAUUCAGCGACAAUUUUGUGUCUAGUUAGCGAACGGGUAUUUUUUUUCAUUAAUUUGAAGUUAUGGUCUAAUCAUUGUUCUCUAUCCGAUUGUAUUAACACAACUAUUUGUUUGUUUUGUAUUGCCACCACGGGUCGAAAGAUGUCUUUUGAAGGAAGCGUUGUCGUCUCAAGGCAUGGGCACGGAGAAUAGACAUGAAACCGAACCGGAGGUAACGGCGUCGGUUAUAUAAAACGAAAUGUGGACUCGUCUGAGCGGAUUUUCAGGUCGGUUAAACAUGUUGUUUUACUUAUCAUUACAGACGAGACAAACAUUUCAAACGGAGAAUUUGUUUCCUAGGUGUCUCUUUAACAAAUAUGCCUAUAAAUAACGCAGCAAAUAGUCUGCAAUAGCGAAAUUAUUGGGUGCGCUUCCGGCGUCAUUUAAGACAUUGAACGUGUAGACGUUUGGUUCAACGUGUUAAUGAUUUAUAUGGCGAUACAACGUACAACUUAUGGAAGUAGAAACAAUAAUUUUAUCUUUAUUUUGGCUUGCUCUUCUGGCCUGAUGGUUCUUUUAAUCCCAAUUCAACAGUGAGGAAUGCCCAUUAUAUUUCUUAUGAUACACAAAGUGCGCCGAGCGCCAUUCCACAAUAGUGUCAACACAUUAAUUCUGUAAUAAAUUAAUUACGGACUAGCUGUAAGAGCGCAUAAAUCAUAUCAGCGUGAAUAAGAAAUGUUUGAGGCGAUCUUUCAAAUCACGAAUACUAUUCCCGAAUAUAUUUUUUAUUAAAUUAUAUCAGUUAAUAAAAUUUCCGAAUAUAUUGCUUUUAUAAUCCGUCAAUACGCUCAUCCAACAGUAAGGCAACACAAAAUAAACAACUUCCAUUGCUAUACGCGAACAUGCAUAGUGCGUACAAUUAUGGUUUAAAACGUAGUCACGUCAGAAGAACUUCUCAAGUGUCCCAUAUCUCAAUCCGUUUAAAUGCUGCUCGAAAGAUAUAAAUGUAUUUAUUAUCGGUAAGGUGAUACAUGUCCAAUAGAGCGGAAAUCAAGAUUUCCACGUGCACCGAUUUGUAGGUAGGAGAGUAGACGUAAUUCAAAUCAUUUUAUUUAAGAAAUAAUUCGUGUACGUUAUAAUUUGUUGUCGAAUAACCCACGGCCGGAAGUUUAGAUGCGUAGGGAUUAAAUCACGAGUGCGAAGCACGAGUGAUUUGAAACCACGCAUCUAAACUUCCGGCCGUGGGUUAUUCGACCACAAACUAUAACGUACACGAAUUAUUUCGAUUCUAACACGAUUUUUACUAAAGAUUUAUAGAAUGUAUCUUAUUUUUCUUGCAUACUAUUUUAUGUGAAGCUCCGCCCAUAAAAAUAGCUUUCGGCUGUUCUGUCGAUCAGAUCUCCGCCCUCAAUAACAGCCAAACUGGAUGGAAAAAAACCCAUUUCAUUUCUCACGUUUGGUUAACUAAGAACAACAACUUGCGUAAACUAACAUGUUUUCAUUGUACUCUUUAAAUUAACGCAAGAGUGUUGAAUCUACAAGACAACAACUCCGAUUCGAACUUCAGCCAUUUCAGUAUCGAAGCAGCAGACGAACACCGUGGGAAAUUGGGUCAAGUUUACGCAUUUCUGUUCAUAGCGUAGUAUUUUGUCACGUGACUUUCAUUCAUAAAAUACCGGAUUAUUACGCUGGUGGAAAAUGUAUCGGCAUGUUUUGUUUAGCUACAGCGCGUGCUUUCAGUGUAUAAGCUCCGCCCAUAAGUUAUUGCAGAAUAACCCACGCUUGAUUUCCUUCUUUGUCUAUAGAAAACAAGUCACGUGCCGUGUUAGAAUUAUUUAUUCUCUGUUUGUUUAAAGGUUAAUAUUAUGUUAAACGUGUUUCAGUAUUAUGGGAAAUACUUGCGUACUAGUAUGCAUCAGUGCGUCAAAAACUGAUCAAUGCAAUUAUGGUUUAUUCGUUUGCAUUCAGUUUGACCAACUGACCUUCGUCGUAACAAUGCUAUUUUAGUCUGGUCGAUUAGGCCCACAAAGUAUGGGUGGAAAUCUGACGCAUGAAAGUUGUACAUUUGUUAGAGGAUAUUAUUAUACGCCAAUAAUCGGUGGAUGCUUAUUUUUGUUCUCGCUACGCACUCAAUCGUCAAAGCUAUUAGAUAGUGUGUCGUUAAUAAAAUAAACACAAACGGAACAUUACGUAUUUUUCUUCAGUAUGGUUCCACGGGUGUAUUUAUAUAUAUAUCGUUAAAAAAUAAUUUAUAAAAAAUAGGUUCAUUUCUAGCCAUAUUAAUGCAUGUCGGCAUUACACUUGGAGUCUGAUUUAUUUAAGUUUAUAUCCUCAAUACGAUUUGUAAAGCAAAAUUGCUAAUUAUAUCUUGGUAAAAACGCAUUUCCCGGGUCCUUAUUGCUAUGAAGACUAAAUCAACAAACAACAAAUUUAAUCGCAGCCUUAAUUCAAAAAUCCCAGCAAUCAAUUGUAUCUGCAUACUAUAUUAAUUGGUGUGCGUUGGUGCGUAUCUUGCAGCACUUGUAAUAUAAUCCAUGUUACAAAAUUAAUAAUAAUAAUAAAUACAUAUAAUUAUGAGAAUAAUAACAAAAUAUAACACAUCUAUAACAUAAUAAUGUACAAAUACAAUAAACUGCGGUAGUACAAAUUCAUAUACAUUCGUUUGGGGUGCCCUAAAUGUACGUCUUCGUGAAUUUUGGAACUUGCUUUAAUGAUAACCGAUGGGCUUAUGUUUAAAAGACACGCACACAAAUUUGAUUCUUAGUAAAUAAUAGAAUGGGUCUUAGUCCUGUGAGAUCAAACAAUCUGGUUAUAUUGGAAUAGGUUCGGUAUAUGUUUGGUUGAUGGUACGCUAAAAGCGCCUUUGUAUUUUCAAAAUUAUUGUGAUUAAACGAUGGCCAAUAGGCUUAUGAUGAUCAACGUUGGCUAUGAAUAAACAAAUAUCAGGUUGUUUGUAAAUAAGCAGUUCCAGUGCCUCUACUAAAACCGGGACUUAAUCCCAAAAGAAAAACAAGAUGGUUUAUAUAUGCAAUGGUAUAUGGUUUGUUGGUGGUGCACUAAAAUGUGCUUAUGUAUUUUCAAAAUUAUGGUGUUGAAACGAUCGCCCAUAUUGGCUUAUGGUGAAAAGCUCGGUGAUCACUUUUGGCUAUAAGUAAAUAUUAAAUAAAUAUCAAGUUCUUGGUAGAUAACGCCGUUCCCGGGUCUCUACCGGAACCGGGACUUAAUCCCGGAAGAACAUUGUGGUGGUUAUAUAUAAUGGUAUGGUGGUGCACUAAAAUGUGCUUAUGUAUUUUCAAUAUUAUGGUGUUGAAACGAUCGCCCAAAUUGGCUUAUGGUGAAAAGCUCGGUGAUCACUUUUGGCUAUAAUUAAAUAUUUAAUAAAUAUCAAGUUCUUGGUAGAUAACGCCGUUCCCGGGUCUUUACCGGAACCGGGACUUAAUCCCGGAAGAACUUUGUGGUGGUUAUAUAUAAUGGUACAUGGUUGGUUGAUGGUGCAGUCCGGUGAUCAUUUUUGGCUAUAAGUAAAUAUUAAAUAGAAUAUCAAUAUAAAGAAGUUCUUGGCUGAUAACGCCGUUUCCCGGAAGAACUUUGUGGUGGUUAUAUAUAAUGGUACAUGGUUGGUAAAUGAAGCGAUAAAUGGGCUUCUAUAUUUCCGAAAUUACGGAGAAUACAUGACUGCCAAUUGGCUUAUGGUAAAAUGCCCGUUGAUCAUCUUUGCCUGUAAAUAAAUAAAUAUCCGGUUCUUGGUAGAUACGCAGUUCCAGUUUUCAAGUUGUGGUAAAACGAUCGCGAUUUGGCUUAUGGUGAAAAGCCUGGUGAUGAAUUUAAUGUAUUAAACAAAUCAAUAGAUUAUUCAUAGAUCUCUACUGAUCUGGGGCUUGAUCCUGGAAGAACAAAGGUCGUUAUUUAAUGCUAUAUAGUUGGCUAGCAGUGCCGUCUUGUUUGCAUAUACUUGUUUAUCAAAUAUUAAAAUAAAGUGGUGUAUAGUAACCAAGUGGUCUACGUUGGAAAGCCCGACUUAAAAUGUUUGUUUUUAUCGAUUCAUGUACAAGUUAAUUGGAAAAAAACACGUACAUACAACCGUAACAUAUAUAUGUCUUACUGUUCUGCUAUAUUUCAUCACUUAAGUUUGCCGUGGUAUUUACUUGUAACAUUUAAAAACUGUAUUACGUGGCAUUUUGUUGUGAGGUUUGAAACUCAACGGCCGAGUUCCUGCUGGUCUGAACCUGUAUAUUAAUCUGGUAUUUAAAUGUCACGUAAGGAACGUAUGAAUGAUCGGAUAAUCGGUGAUAUGGGAUGCCUAUCAUAGGGCAGUAGACGUGGCAGACGGUUCUGAUGUAGGCUUGCAAUAUUUAGGGAUCAACAUCACUUGGGAUUUUAAAAGACGGAAUGCGUCUGGAACACAUAGAAUAAUCCUAUAAUUCGCAAUUGCGCUUUAAUCAACAUAUCAACAUGCUGUACCUUUGACCACCACUUAUGGUGGUAACGAAAUCGAGCCCCGAUCAAUGUUACACAUUUCCCAUGAUUAUCGAUACAUAGUGGGCUACCUACAAUAGUUUUUAUCUUACGCGAUCCAAGUUUACUCCUAAAUCUUUCCGCGCAUAAACUGGCGCUAUGCUGUUAGUAAACAUAAAUAAAUAAAUAAAUAAAUAAGAAAACAAAUAGUGAAUUUCUGAAUAGCGUUACUAUUCCUAGAUGCGUGAAGUUGCUAUAUCAAAUACCCUGACAUUGUUGAAUCGCGUGUCUUUUUCAAAUCCGAUGACACGCACAAGUUCUAGUUAAGAUCGUUAUCAUGUUGAACACUGUCCGGAGCAAUCUAGCCUUUUAUUUGAGCAAGGUUUCGUUUUUCCAAACCCGAUUUUAAUUCUUCGUUAUUGCUUGUCAAGGCUGGCGUGUGUUCGUGGCCGCUGUGUGGCGGAAGGCCCACUUCCUGCGGCCGUGGUCCUUUUUGGCAUAGUUUCCACGAACACACUUCCCGCUUGUCCCGGGGGAUAGACAUUAUGUACUUAAAUUUCCCGCCGUUCUCGGGGGAACCUGUAUAAGACAAUUGAUCCCUUGACAUUAUUAUGCCAAACCUUUAAGAUAAUAAAUUGCGUAGUUAAACUGUUUGGCGUUUGUCGUUGAAUAAUAAUGUUUAUUCGCUCAAGAAUAAACUGUCUUAUUCAACGCAAACGCUAUUUUCCUAAGGGAUCGCCGAAACCUAAACCCCAAUUUUAUAACCCAUCCUACCCAGUCUACUCUUACAUAUAGACUCGUCCACUAAGUAUAAAACCACUGCCCGUGCAAAUUGACGCUCUUUUACUAGCUUGUCGCAUCACAGGGUAGGUCGCGCUAUGGUUUACAGGUUUACAUUUACCACCCACCUUCCCACUUAAUUUUUUAUUGUAACACGAUGCUUGCCAGAUUUUUGUUAUAUUCCAGUGUUGUCGAGAAUAACGAGCUCCAUUAGAAACCCACAUCGUCAUGGCUGGGACUUAACAGCGUACGGCACACCGUCAGUCUGUCCAAUGGUCUACUUAGUUCGGCCCCCGACGACAGGUUCCUGCGUAAUUGACUGUAGCAGUUUUAGAGCAUUUGCUAGACUUUGAUCAAUAAACUUUUGUUAAUAUUGGUUGUUUUCGGGUACAGUUUCCAGAGUUAUUUUACCUUCAGUGAAGUUUUAUCUCUGGUUUGUACUCUGGCCUUGAAAAAAAAAAUUCCCGCCGUUCUCGGGGGUAGUUUCCACGAACACACUUCCCGCUUUUCCCGGGGGAUAGACAUUAUGUACUUUAAUUUCCCGUCGUUCUCGGGGGAACCUGUAUAAGACAAUUGAUCCCAGCCUUGACAUUAUUAUGCCAAACCUUUAAGAUAAUAAAUUGCGUAGUUAUACUGUUUGGCGUUUGGCGUUGAAUAAUGUGUCUGUUUAUGUCUGGUUCAAAAUUGUCACUACCUCUCGGUUUCAGACUCGCCGUAAAUAGUGGUAUUUUGUUUGUUCAUCACUGUUAAAGUGUUAAUAGGUUUGCUUUGCUUAAUUGAGAAAUUGUUUAUAAAUCGAUAUUAUGUUUAGAAAAAAAACCAUAAAGUUAUCUUCAGUUCAUUAAUAGGUGUAUAACUUACGUGCGUAUGAGAAAAAACUUGAUUUUGUGUUUAGUUAAUGUUUAGUUUAGGCUAAAAACGCAUGAAUACUAGUAUUAGAUAACCAACUUAUAUAACACAGUUUAACAUGUACAAUACUUGACAUUUAGUUGAUUUGUGAAACCAGCCAGACAAAUGAAGUUUGGUCAGCCAGGUCCGGGUUAAACUGAAAAUGGCUUUAUUAGGGCGUGAAGUCUAUGAUCGGGAGGAAACAAAAGAUCUUUUAUUUCACUUGAUUUACAUAUGCGAAUGUAUGUCAUUAAAAGGCAUACUCAAUGUCAGUACGUAUCGUGUAAAACAAUGCAAUGACAUAUUAUGAAACAUGACUAAAAUGUAAGGUCAUGCUUACAUUUAUACUUAGAUUAUCUAUGUCAUCGUAUUUUUAUAAUUCGUGAUAUAUUAACUCACGCAAAUCUGGCCUUUAUAAUUACGCUGUGCGGAUAGAAAUCAACAACAAAAACUAAUAAUACACUGUGUUGAAUAACAAUACGUGUGUUAUGUAAUUGUUGCAAUCGAAAUUGCGGCCUAUGGAUCAAUACCAUUAACAGUGACAUUGAUACCGGAAGUGGAAGCCGGGUACAAGGCGCUUGAUGGCGCGCGCGAUCCAGCCCGGGUCGACAGCGGAUGUGCCCAGCGUCGUCACCUCAGCGUCAGAUGAACAGGAGUAUACGGAAGACGAUGGCAGGGGCGUGAUUUCUCGCGUUUUCCCGCCUCUUCCCAUGUGCAUUGCUGUCGUUUGCUGCGUGUUAAACUUCCUGUUAGCCGGUCUACUAGGGUCGAUGUUAGCAAGCGUCUGUGGGUUCUGUCUUGCGCCGCCUAAUGACAUGACGCGCAGCGACAAGUUCCAAGUGUGCUGCGAGGGCUGCUAAAUCGGACUCCUGCAGUUUAUGCUGGUUCCAAUUUUCUUCUUCGGCUGGUUCCUGAGCUGCAUGGCUGGGCUGGGAUUCAUCCAGGACACGCAUACAUUCUACAAAAUGCUUACCCAAGGUCAUGACGCAACAGGACUUGUUUCUGACAGAUCUGAAAUGACCGAUCCCGAGAAUUGCAUGCGAAGCAGGGGCGCCGCUCUACCUCUCGCAAACGCUCGCGUCGUUUCUGUUCAACCGGCCGCCUCGAUGGUGCAUCUGUUGCGACUUCUGUCCUACAGCGAGCGUAGCGUGACACCACCUCCAUACAGCGAGGACGCCACCCCAAGGGCCUCCAAAUAUGUGACUCUCAUUCCUCGUGCCCCUCACGCUGCUUAAGCCUCAAAUCGAUAGAAUAGUAGUUGGCACUAUUCAUACACAACAUUAAAUAAGCUAUUUAUGUAGGCUAUUUUUUUAAGUCAAAAUAUAUUUUAAUUUACGUUUACACGUAUUAUCGAACAUUACAGUCUGCAAAUACAUCAUUUAAUAUUGUUUCAGCAUUCUUAGUCAAAACCAUCAACGUCACUCGAGUUCUAGUGGGAGGCGUCAUUCCCUCAUAACGCUGAUAUCUGUCGUGCCUGCGGACGGGGCGCUUGUCGUCCCCGUCCGCUCCCCGCCGCCGCCCUAUAGCGAGAUCGACAUGCUCCGAUGAAGGACCCGCGUGUGUGGUUGAACUCCUGGUUUUUCUAGUCAUUUUUUAUGUAUCGGCCUCUCGCGUAUGGCCAUGACUCCAAUACUACUGGAAGGUUACUAGUUGUUGGUAAUCGAGUAUAGUACCGUAUACGGCAAACGCCGCGUUCCAAACGCUUACAUGGGUAUUAUAUUUAGUUCUCAUUAUGAAACGCUAUCUACAGUGAAAGUUGCUAAACACAUUCUACGAGAGACUAGUGAUAUGGUAGAUUAUUGUGUAGCAAGCUCAUACCAGCGACCAAUGGUUGUGAAGUUUGUUACCUAUACACCAUUAUAGGGAAGCGGCCUUUGGGCAUAUGUGACCUCAUCGCUACGCAAUGCAUAAAGAUUAGCGCUAAAUGAACUGCCAUGGUUAAGUGUUGGUUUUGAAGAUUAAAUAACUCUUAAUCUCACGGUCAGAGAGUAAACAUUGCUUGAUUCUGUAGCAUUGGCGAGCAUUAAAAUACAAAAUUAUAAUGCGACACAACAAAUCUUUUGCAAUAUUGUUUUAAGAAAUUUGAACUUGAUAACUUGUUAUUUAUGUACAUGUGCCAGUUUGAUGUCAUUUGUAAAUAGCUAGUUAUCUUAUUGUCAUUCUACAUAUACAUACAUAGUUAUAUAAAUAUUUAAAUUGC